rnacentral:rRNA from 1 species
AGCAGUCGCCACGGGAAUACAGAGGGUGCGAGCGUUAAUCGGAUUUACUGGGCGUAAAGCGUGCGUAGGCGGCUUCUUAAGUCGGAUGUGAAAUCCCUGAGCUUAACUUAGGAAUUGCAUUCGAUACUGGGAAGCUAGAGUAUGGGAGAGGAUGGUAGAAUUCCAGGUGUAGCGGUGAAAUGCGUAGAGAUCUGGAGGAAUACCGAUGGCGAAGGCAGCCAUCUGGCCUAAUACUGACGCUGAGGUACGAAAGCAUGGGGAGCAAACAGGAUUAGAUACCCCUGUAGUCCCUGUCUCUUAUAA